GAUGAACACUGGCGGCGUGCUUAACACAUGCAAGUCGAACGGAAAGGCUCCUGCUUGCAGGGGUACUCGAGUGGCGAACGGGUGAGUAACACGUGGGUGAUCUGCCCUGCACUUCGGGAUAAGCCUGGGAAACUGGGUCUAAUACCGGAUAGGACGAUGGUUUGGAUGCCAUUGUGGAAAGUUUUUCGGUGUGGGAUGAGCUCGCGGCCUAUCAGCUUGUUGGUGGGGUAAUGGCCUACCAAGGCGUCGACGGGUAGCCGGCCUGAGAGGGUGUACGGCCACAUUGGGGUGGAGAUACGGCCCGGCCCCUGCCGGGGGGAAGGAGGGGGGAUUUUGGCACACGGGGCGCAAGCCGGCUGCAGCGCCGCCGGGGGGGGGAGGGCGGCUUUGGGUUGGUAACCUCCUUUCGCGAGGGACGAAGCGAAAGGGACGGUACCGGGAGAAGAAGCCCCGGCUAACUCCGUG
rnacentral:rRNA from 1 species